rnacentral:sRNA from 1 species
CUCCGUCUGGAUUCAAGAUGUUUUGGACAGAGCGAGCGCAUCAGCCACUGACCAAGGGAUUUUCCAAAAGAGGCGUAGUAAAGGCUCUAAUCAGAACUAAGCAAACACCCGAUAACUCCGCCCUUUGUCGUUACUAGAGUGGAAAGCGGGAAAGGAAUAAAUGAUCAGUGUUGUGAGACUGGAAUGGGGCGCCGUCGAAGGUGAGGUCCAGUUCGCUACUACGCU